CCUGGGGAGUACGCUCUCAAAGAGUGUAACUCAAAGUAAUUGACGGGGUCCCGCACAAUCGGUGGAGUAUGUGGUUUAAUUCGAUGCAACGCGAAGAACCUUACCAGGGCUUGACAUGUCCGGAACCUUGCCGAAAGCUGAGGGUGCCUACGGGAACCGGAGCACAGGUGGUGCAUGGCUGUCGUCAGCUCGUGUCGUGAGAUGUUGGGUUAAGUCCCGCAACGAGCGCAACCCACGUUCUUAGUUGCCAGCAUUCAGUUGGGCACUCUAGGGAGACUGCCGGUGACAAACCGGAGGAAGGUGUGGAUGACGUCAAGUCAGCAUGCCCCUUACGUCCUGGGCUACACACGUACUACAAUGCUGUGGACAAAGGGCAGCCAGCCGGCGACGGUGAGCUAAUCCCAUAAACCACGGCACAGUUCAGAUUGCAGGCUGCAACUCGCCUGCAUGAAGGAGGAAUCGCUAGUAAUCGCAGGUCAGCAUACUGCGGUGAAUACGUUCCCGGGCAUUGUACACACCGCCCGUCACACCAUGGGAGUUGGUUUUGCCCGAAGUCGUUACUCCAACCUGCGGGGGGGA
rnacentral:rRNA from 1 species